AUUUAAAGCGGUUCGCAAAGCCGGAGCAGCAGCAGCGUCAACUGAAGUUUGAGGAGGACUUGGAGUUUCCAGAAAACUGAGGAUCAUCCCAAAACUUGGCCAGAAUCGGGAAGAGGAAUUUCGGGAAAACCGCAACACCGGCUUGAAAACUCAAUUUGGAAAGUUUUUUUUUCCUCGAGGACGAAGAACCGUUGAGAGCAACAGUUGGUCUGAUAGCGAUACAGGAAGCAACAGGCUGACGACGACGACGACGACGCCGAUGGAGCGAACUGCUAACGGAUAAUCAACUCUCUUCGUUGAUGAUAAAAAAGAAAGUUCUUUCAGACUGGCAGCUGUGACUAUGUGAGUGUGUGAAUGUUGAGCUGCGAAGUGAGUUGUUGAGUGAUAUGUGGUGGCUUAGUUGAACAAAAGUGGUUAGUGUGCGCAAUCGAAUUUAGGCUGGAAGGUGGAAACUAUGAAGUCAUCAAAUGUUGAUCUCCUCAACCAAGAUGAAGUCAUUACCGCCUGACCACUGGUAGUCCUAAACCCACACUAAAUGCAACGAUUAUUAUGCAGUGGAAAAUGUAACUUCACCUCACCUCAGAAGAUAAAUCGUAGUUUUUUUGCUGGAAAACUAAGGUAAGACAUAGAGUGUGUAAGGUUUACACCCUUGACUGAGCAUAUUCAGGAUGCGUCGAGUGAAAUCAACGAACGGAAAAUCACCCCCUUAAUCGCAUGGUGAGGUGACAAUGAACUUGGGUUACGAUUUAGAUGUUUCAAAAAAACAUUAAAUUUAUUUUAUUUAAAAAAACAGUUUACAACUAGAAAAUUAUCAUUAGUUUAGAAAUCGGAAGCAUUCUUUUCUAUUUUAUUCAAUAUCGAUAAAAUCAUCAAACUAAAGACCACCCUAAAGCAAAAACAAUACCUAGCCGUGUAAGACGAGAGGAGCUUGUUUGUGCUCUCUCUAGUAUUAAAUUGGACGCUGUUCUGGAACUGGCCUCCAAUCAUCCGACGACCAUCCUGAACCUCUAUCCACUUCACCUUUCCGAGCAACAACGACGUAGAAAGACGACAGGAGACUAAGGUAGAACGUAGAGAGCCGCAAUCACGGGCUAACCUGUUGAGUGAGAAGACUGAAGACUAUCAUCACGAAGCGAACGAACGACCGACGGCGGUGUGUGUGCGUGUGCAACAGACAAAAUCCAAUGAAGCGAUGUAUCAUCAUCAAAAGAAAAGUGUCAUCGUUGUCAUCGUCGCGCAACAGGAAUGACAAUUUUGUGUCGGAUUUAGGGAAGAUCGAAAAUAAAAAUAAAA